rnacentral:rRNA from 1 species
GCAUUUGUUCGGGCAAAUUUUGCCAACGAUGCUCACAUUCUUUGCCCAUGUUGUGAAUGCCUCAACCAUCCAAGAAUGGCUCAAGGAAGAGUGGAAGAUCAUCUGCUUCUUAAUGGGAUGUCCAGCACAUAUGAUAGAUGGAUAUAUCAUGGAGAACCUUUAGACAAACAACCUCAACAUUUUGAAGCUGAUACAGAGGCCCCUCAUAUGAUGGGUGGUGGUGAUGCUGGCAUUGAUUUCAUGGAAAAGGUUUUGCGAGAUAAUGCUGUUUUGGAGGAAGAGGAUGGGCAUGAAGAUGAUAGGAUUCCUGACCUAUUGAAGGAUUUGUACGAUGCUGAAGAUCAUGCUGAUGGACAGAAAUCAUUGUUUGCUGAGGUGUUAGAGGAGGUGAAGCGCGCAGCUCAUGAAGGGGGUAAAUUUUCAAGAUUUACCUUCACCGUGAAGUUACUCCACAUCAAGUCUUUCUACCGGAUUAGCAAUGCCGCAUUCAACGCAAUACUCCGUCUUUUGAGCUUGCAAUUCCCUAAUAGUUGUGUUCCCAGAUCUUAUGAUGAAGCAUUGAGCAUAAUCCGCAGGCUGGGGUUAGGUUAUGUGUCAAUACAUGUGUGCCCAAAUAACUGUGUCUUGUUUUGGAAGGAUUUAGCAAAGCAUGACAACUGUCCAAAAUGCAAUGCAUCUAGGUGGAAAGAUGCUGAUGGGAAGAAGUCAAUACCGGAGAAGGUACUGAGGCACUUUCCCUUGAUACCAAGGCUGCAGCAGAUGUUCAUCUCGAAGAAAUCAUCGCGUGAGGUACAGUGGCACAAGCUGAAGCGGCAACCUAUGGACAAUGAGCUGAGCCAUCCAGCGGAUGGAGAGGCAUGGAAAGAGUUUGACCGUAUACAUUUUGAUUUUGCUGCAGAUCCAAGGAACAUAAAACUUGGCAUUGCCACAGAUGGGUUUAAUCCGUUUGGGAACAUGAGCACAUCUUAUAGCAUGUGGCUAGUUUUUGUGGUGCCGUACAACCUGCCACCAUGGGCAUGCAUGGAUCAGUCCAACUUCAUGAUGUCAUUGCUUAUCCUGGGUCCAGAUUCUCCAGGAAAGGAUUUUGAUGUCUUUAUGGAGCCCCUCGUAGAAGAACUGCUCCAGCUCUGGACUGGUGUACCUACAUACGAUGCCUUGAGUCCGGAAGAAAAGUUCAAUCUACGUGCUGCGAUCAUAUGGUCCAUCCAUGAUUUCCCGGCUCUGCACACUCUGUCUGGGAGGAUCACAGCGGGUUAUCAGGCUUGUGUCCAUUGUGACAAAGACCCUUGCUCAAAGAGAAUAAGGAGCAAGAUAGGCUAUAUUGGGCACCGCCGCUUUCUUCCCCGAAACCAUCGCUGGCAAAGAAGCAAAGAUUUUAAUGGUGAGAAUGAAACCCGUGACAAGCCAGCUGAAUUCACUAAAGAAGAGCUGGAGCAGCAACUUGAAAAGGUGAAAGAUGUGAGACCAGGAAAGCUGGCGAAGAAAAGAAAGCGUGAGGAAGGUCAAUGUUGGGACCGGAGGUCUUGUUUGUGGGACCUGCCAUACUGGGCUGAUCUGAAAUUAAGGCAUAAUCUCGAUGUAAUGCACAUUGAGAAAAACAUAUGCGAGAAUCUG